rnacentral:rRNA from 1 species
AAUAGAUACCCUGGUAGUCCAUGCCGUAAACGUUGGGCGCUAGAUGUGGGGGACCAUUCCACGGUUUCCGUGUCGCAGCUAACGCAUUAAGCGCCCCGCCUGGGGAGUACGGCCGCAAGGCUAAAACUCAAAGGAAUUGACGGGGGCCCGCACAAGCGGCGGAGCAUGCGGAUUAAUUCGAUGCAACGCGAAGAACCUUACCAAGGCUUGACAUAUACGAGAACGCUCUAGAAAUAGAGAACUCUUUGGACACUCGUAUACAGGUGGUGCAUGGUUGUCGUCAGCUCGUGUCGUGAGAUGUUGGGUUAAGUCCUGCAACGAGCGCAACCCUCGUUCUAUGUUGCCAGCGGUUCGGCCGGGAACUCAUAGGAGACUGCCGGGGUCAACUCGGAGGAAGGUGGGGAUGACGCCAAAUCAUCAUGCCCCUUAUGUCUUGGGCUUCACGCAUGCUACAAUGGCCGGUACAAAGGGCUGCAAAUCCGUAAGGUGGAGCAAAUCCCAAAAAGCCGGUCUCAGUUCGGA